rnacentral:rRNA from 1 species
AACGAACGCUGGCGGCAUGCCUAACACAUGCAAGUCGAACGAGACCUUCGGGUCUAGCGGCGCACGGGGGCGUAACGCGUGGGAACCUGCCCUUAGGUUCUGAAUAACUCCCCGAAAGGGGUGCUAAUAACGGAGAAUGUCUGCGGACCAAGGAUUUAUUGCCUUUGGAUGGGCCCGCGUUUGAUUAGCUAGUUGGUAGGGUAAAAGCCUACCAAGGCGACGAUCGAUAGCUGGUCUGAGAGGAUGAUCAGCCACACUGGGACUGAGACACGGCCCAGACUCCUACGGGAGGCAGCAGUGGGGAAUAUUGGACAAUGGGGGAAAGCCUGAUCCAGCCAUGCCGCGUGAGUGAUGAAGGCCUUAGGGUUGUAAAGCUCUUUUACCCGGGAUGAUAAUGACGGUACCGGGAGAAUAAGCUCCGGCUAACUUCGUG